rnacentral:lncRNA from 1 species
GAGCUAAUGUAUAAAUGUAUUUGGUUACACAGUACAAGUUUGACAAGGGUUAAGUGUUCAAUCCGAUUAUUAUUUUCAUGAUGAUAAAUAUUAAUGUUAUUAUAAACACUUUUAAGUAACAUUCAAUUAGAUAAAAUUCAAAGUGAUUUGAAACACAUAAAUUUCUUUGCCCCCAUUUCUCUUAAUCCUCCAGGGCUUUGCUAGGCUCUACCCUCAGGCAAAAAUAUCUUUUGCUUUGAAGUUCAUUUUAUUUCAUUAUACCUCCCUGGAUUUAUUAGUGUGGCCUAUUAAUGUUUAGGUUAUUUAUUUUCAUUUAUUAAGGCCUUUCUAUAAGAUAUUCUCUUUCUUCUUUAACUUCUUUCCAGAAUUCCUAAUGUCUGCAGAAUGGACAAAGGCUAACCCAUCCUCAAUCCUGGAUUCCUCUUUAAAACAGUGCAGCAAAAGAGAAGGGGUGCUAAAAUGACAUGCCCCAGGGAAGUAUCUGAGCAAGUCAUAGCAAAAUGUUACCAUUUUGCCUCUGGUUGGAGCACUAGAAAUCCUGCCACUCAGUUCUACUCAAGCAGAGAGGUUGAAUUCCCUCUUGAAAAAUACUUCUAUCAGAUUCUACUUCUAACCUUUCACUCUGCAAGUGUUUCAAGCCAGUCCAAGAAACAGAUGGGACAGAUGCCAGAAUGAUGUGUGCCAUUCCUUACCCAUUAUUUCCACUAGGCUGAAUAUUUAACAUCUCAAAAUGCCAAGUCUAAUAUAUUCCCUAAUAUUCCCCAUUGCAAACAUGGUCAACCUAUAGUCCUUACAAUGAACUAUAAGUAAAUGACUGUUCCAUCCUUAUAGCUAAGACAAUGAACUUUGAACUUAUCUUUGCCUUUCCCCCUUUCUCUUACUACAUGCAAUUGUUUCAUUAGCAGUUCUAUUGGUUAUAUGUUCUAUCAGGUAUACAGCUAAUUCUUGACAAACCAUUGUGACCAAUGGUCUCUUACACUUUAACUUUAUUUAUGAUAUCUGAUACCUAUUUUCCUAAUAGUCUAUUUUAAUUUCUUUCUUUUUUGUUAUUUAAGUUAUCACUAUUCUAUACUAAAC